rnacentral:rRNA from 1 species
UACGUAGGGGGCUAGCGUUGUCCGGAAUCAUUGGGCGUAAAGCGCGUGUAGGCGGUCCGGUAAGUCCGCUGUGAAAGUCGGGGGCUCAACCCUCGGAUGCCGGUGGAUACUGUCGGGCUUGAGUACGGAAGAGGCGAGUGGAAUUCCUGGUGUAGCGGUGAAAUGCGCAGAUAUCAGGAGGAACACCAAUUGCGAAGGCAGCUCGCCGGGACGUUACUGACGCUGAGACGCGAAAGCGUGGGGAGCAAACAGG